rnacentral:rRNA from 1 species
AUACGUAGGUGGCGAGCGUUGUCCGGAUUUACUGGGUGUAAAGGGUGCGUAGGCGGAUGUUUAAGUCAGAUGUGAAAUACCCGGGCUCAACUUGGGUGCUGCAUUUGAAACUGGAUAUCUAGAGUGCAGGAGAGGAAAGCGGAAUUCCUAGUGUAGCGGUGAAAUGCGUAGAGAUUAGGAAGAACACCGGUGGCGAAGGCGGCUUUCUGGACUGUAACUGACGCUGAGGCACGAAAGCGUGGGGAGCAAACAGGAUUAGAUACCCUGGUAGUCACGCCGUAAACUAUGAAUACUAGGUAUGGGGGAGCGAUACCUCCGUGCCGCAGUCAACGCAUUAAGUAUUCCACCUGGGGAGUACGAUCGCAAGAUUAAA